UAUGUCCAUAUCAUGUUGAAACACUGGUUCUCAUAUGAUCAUCAAAGUUAAGCAAUGUUGAGCUUGGUCAGUACCUAGAUGGGUGACUGUUUAGGAACACCAAAUGCUGUAA